rnacentral:rRNA from 1 species
UCGGAUUGUAGUCUGCAACCCGACUACAUGAAGCCGGAAUCGCUAGUAAUCGCGGAUCAGAAUGCCGCGGUGAAUACGUUCCCGGGUCUUGUACACACCGCCCGUCACACCAUGGGAGUCGGGAAUGCCCGAAGUCAGUGACCCAACCCAAGGGAGGGAGCUGCCGAAGGCAGGCCUGGUGACUGGGGUGAAGUCGUAACAAGGUAAC